GGGGAAUAUUGCGCAAUGGGGGAAACCCUGACGCAGCCAUGCCGCGUGAGUGAUGAAGGCCCUCGGGUCGUAAAGCUCUGUCGCGAGGAAAGAAGCCUUCGGGUUGACGGUACCUCGCAAGAAAGCACCGGCUAACUCUGUGCCAGCAGCCGCGGUAAUACAGAGGGUGCAAGCGUUGCUCGGAUUCAUUGGGCGUAAAGCGUCCGCAGGCGGUCUGAAAGGUCUGAUGUGAAAGCCCAGGGCUCAACCCUGGAAGUGCAUCGGAUACCAUCAGACUUGAGUACGGGAGAGGAGAGUGGAAUUCCUGGUGUAGAGGUAAAAUCCGUAGAUAUCAGGAGGAACACCGGCGGCGAAAGCGGCUCUCUGGCCCGAUACUGACGCUCAUGGACGAAAGCGUGGGGAGCAAAC
rnacentral:rRNA from 1 species